CAAGAAUCAUGAUGGUCAAAGCUCAUGAGAAUUGUGCGUCUUUUGCGUACAGUUUUCGAGAGUUU
rfam:Streptococcus sobrinus W1703 genomic scaffold Scaffold118, whole genome shotgun sequence.